UGGGCUAGAAUGCCUCUGACAACCCUAGAGAUAGGGCUUCCUAGGGAAACCUAGGCAGAGUGCAAGGUGCUGCAUGGCUGUCGUCAGCUCGUGUCGUGAGAUGUUGGGUUAAGUCCCGCAACGAGCGCAACCCUUAUCGAUAGUUGCUAGCGGUUCGGCCGAGCACUCUAUUGAGACUGCCGUUGACAAAACGGAGGAAGGUGGGGAUGACGUCAGUGCUUGCCU
rnacentral:misc_RNA from 1 species